rnacentral:rRNA from 1 species
CCUACGGGUGGCAGCAGUGGGGAAUAUUGCACAAUGGGCGAAACCCUGAUGCAGCGAAGCCGCGUGAGCGAUGAAGGCUUUCGGUAUGUAAAGCUCUUUCAGCAGGGAAGAAAAUAACGGUACCUGUCUAAGAAGCCACGGCUCACUCCGUGCCAGCAGCCGCGGUACUACGGAGGGCGCAAGCGUUAUCCGGAUUUACUGGGUGUAAAGGGAGCGUAGACGGCUGUGCAAGCCAGAUGUGAAAGGCCGGGGCUCAACCCGGGGACUGCAUUUUGAACUGUGUGGCUGGAGUGUCGGAGAGGCAGGCGGAAUUCCUGGUGUAGCGGUGAAAUGCGUAGAUAUUAGGAGGAACACCGGUGGCGAAGGCGGCCUACUGGACGAUGACUGACGUUGAGGCUCGAAAGCGUGGGGAGCAAACAGGAUUAGAUACCCCGGUAGUC